rnacentral:lncRNA from 1 species
GUGCGUGUGUUUCUUACCUCACUGCUCAGGCAUUCCAGUAGAGAAAGUGGUGUGAAGAGAAAGAGCGGCUCUCACAGUGUGGGUAUUCAUGUCUGUGAACACUGGAGCCCAGUCCGGGCUCCAGUGUUCACAGACAAAGCCUCUCCAGCAGGACCCAGACACACUCACACAGAAAGGGAGCGACAUAAGCAGAGGGACACAGGAUUGGGGGAGACUAGGUAACAAGGGGGAGAAAACAGAGAAGGGGCGGGAGAGGGUAAAUAUGUGGCAGCUCCCUUUCAACUGUGAAUGCAGGUGUGAUGGUUUGUCAUCUAUACUGGACAAAGCAUCACACCUGCUCUGCACUGCAACGGUUUUGUCACCAAAAUGACCAGUUCAUUAAGUCACUGCCCUCAGACUAUGAAGUCCCAAAUUUCAGAGUUAGAGGGGAUAACUGUCACUCAGAUGUAUUGUUCUCUUUCCUCGAAGACAUAACAGCGUUGGAAGACACUUGCACAACCUGCUGCUUACCGCCAUCUUUAUAGUUUUUUUCUAGCGCUGUUGGCAGAGUUCAUAAAUCCACCACAUCUCUCCUCCUAAAAGGGUCCUCCCUCUCUUACUUAUACCAGCCAAUCCCGUCGCUCUCUUUCAGUGCUCUCUACUCCCUCUAGCUUUGAGCCAGCAGCCCAAGCUCUUAGGAUUUCAUGAGACUUUCUUCCACUUGGCCGUCCCGUCACUGCUCCCCCUGCCUGGCCCCUUCCCUAGAUCGGGUAGCCUGGUUCACUGUGUCCUUAAACAACCUGUGUGCAUGUACAGGAAAGGGGCCCCAAAGUGGGGAGGACCAUCUCUAACCCUUCAUUUCGAAAAAGAGACAUAGUCGUACUAGAAAAUGACUGCACUGACUUUUCUUAAUCAAUAAACGUCAGUGCAUCAUUUCCACUGUCUCCAUCACCAAAAAUCUCAGUGUUAUCUGCAGAGUAAAUAUCGACAGGCAGAGUCGAUUUACAUACAAACUCAUCUUUCCGCAUGCGGCUCUUUAACCAGUGCCGUUAAGGGUUUGCUCUAUCUGUUAGAAUCCUUAUAUUUGACUUCAGGGUGAAACCUCAUCAAGGGAUUCGCUCUUGUUGAUUUAAAGCAUUUUAAGCAAGGCUGGGGGUCGAGUUAUUUGAUGAUAUUUCAGGACACAUUUCUUUAUUUUCACCUGGAUUAGAUAAAGGAAAAAAAAAAUCAGUUUUGAAAUUCUUCUUAAUAAAAACUACUUUUUAACACAUGCAGUAAACCACUUUUUUUAAUAGCAGAAACUGUAACUUUUGACUUUGAUCACCAUACUGCUCACCCCAUCUCUCCAUCUAUAUUACUCACCCUCACAUGAGGCACUUGUCGUUUUUGAGAUCGAUGAAUCUAUAGGUGGAUGGAUAGAUGGCACCAGCUCGUAAUAGAUGGCCUCUCCCUGAAUGUGCUGAGUCACAGAGCAUGAGUCUGCAGGAGCCAGAAAACAGGCAGCAGACAGAUGAUGUUGGAUGUGGUUUCUGGAGUGAUAUUAAUGAUCCGGGUAGAGUUAUGCAUCAGCAGUUAUAUGUUUGAAGAGUUAAAGUCGAUAUUACAGACUUUAUGGGCAUGUCAGUGAUUUUGGUGGUCUGUUAAUUCUGCACAUUCACUGCAUUCAUCAUAAAUUUGUACAAACUUUAACAGCUCGGUCUUUACUCAAAGGCUGCACCAGUACAGAUUUAUGUUAGGUGUAUGUUAGAUCCCACACUGAUAAAGUAGCAGCAACUAAAUCAUGUGCAUGUUGUCUAUAGAAAAGGUUUCUGUGGAAGAACGAACAGAUGCUGCUGCUGCUGUUGUUGUUUUUUUCACUGGAUUGCUUCACAGUGUUGGGGAUGGAAGGCAGUAAAUGUUGUCAGUGUGCUCCUAAUUUUUCUUAAGAUAAAUACAACAUCUGAUUAGCUCUUCUGCUGCAAAGAAAGUGUUACAAUCAGUUUCAAGGCUGCACCUCAAAUUAAGUGAGUGAACCUGCUUAAAUGAAGACAAGAGAAGCCUCUGAUUGGGUUUGAUUUGCAGAUGUUUUUGGAUGCACUUCAAGUAUCGGACUGAUUAGAAUCAGCCUCCUUUAUUGUUAGCAAUACAUGUAUAAAUGAAGCUGGCAAUUCUAUGGGUGUUAAGAAAAAAAACAACACUUAUUUCUCUUUAUUAAGAUGAAUAUUUAGAUCACAAAACAGACAAGCCAUCUGAAAUAUAUCUAAGUGAAGUUGGGGUUUGUGGAUUUAAGAAAUUUGAUGAGGAACACACAUGUUAUGGCUCUGUCUUCAUUUUUUUAAAGAUUUUUUCUGCAGCAGCUGUGGUGGUGAAUGAGUUAAGUCUCAUCGGGUAUAUGUCUCAGUAAGUCAUUCAUAACAUAAUGCAGGUGCAGUCUGCAGAGGGGAUGCGCAAUAUUGUUUUCUUGCCAUUUUUUUUUUUCAAACUGAUUUUGGCCAGUAUCAGUAUUGAGAUAUGCACACCAUUUAAUUUUUUUAUCGUAGUGAAUGCAAAGUUUUUCCAGUACCAGAAUUUACAUAUUACUUGUCUAUUUAUUAUAAUUAUAAAUCCUUUUUAAAUGUCUACAUUCAGAAAUGCAUCUAUGGUCUGUUUCUAAGACCUCACAUCACUUCUUUUCAGCAUCAGCACACUCAUGUACAUGAUAAAUGCAUCACUUUUUUUGGUUGAUAAUUAUAUCUGCAGUCAUUUUCAUAUCUGUUUUUAACUUUUUUAGCUAUUUUUUGCCAGUACUGAUAUCAUUCCAGUAACACUGCAGUACCUAAUUUGCACGUCUGCCUCCAUGUUGAAAAAUGCUCGGGCCAGACCAGUUAGUCACAUGCAUGCACACAGACACUAAAACCCUCAUCCAUCAUCGACAUGCACUCUGUCACCUACAGAUAAACCACUGAAGGUAUUACAAAAACUCACACAACCUUUCAUAAAUAUCAGUAACCAGAACAUGAGUGAUUGUCCAGUUAAAUAUAGGGACAUUAAUGGCCCAGUAGACACUCUUGUCAUAUGGCUUUAUGAUCCCUUUGACUCCUGAUCCCCUCAAAUCCCUGAUGACCCAGAGGCCAUGACCCUAGCAUCUGCCAGCAGCCGCAGAAAGGGGGAGGCAAGCGCCGACUGUACCCAGACAGAUGCUCUAUAAGAUAAAGUCUCUGUAUAGUGAAGCCUCUCGUACACUCUCUGUCUCACAGGGCAAGAUGAGUCAUUGGACAUGGAUCCUGACUUCUCUGGCUUCGAGCUACAUUCAAUGAUUUGAAGCAGACUCUUGAGAUAUCUGGAGGGAACGCCCUAUAAGGGUCCUGUUUGGUCUAAUACUGUGUCUCCGAGUAAAAAAUGGAUGCCUGCGUCUGAGGCCAAACUUUUGAACUUUAUUGUGUUGGCUCAGUGUUACCGAGAAAGGGAUGCCAUUUAAAUGCCACUGGUAAUAUUUGGUAUAUUAUGUAAGUGUGUAAAAACUUUCAGCAGUGUCAGAAUAGUGAAACAGACUAGAGAGUUCAGAGAGAGAUCAAGUGAGUAUGCUUAAUCUCAUCUUUCUGUGAACACAUGAUUAUCCUUAUGGUCUCUGGUUUUCAAAAGGAGAUUUGAUCGCUCUUUUCCCUGAAAGUCCACCUUUCUUAAGUUCACUUUAUCAUUGUUCGUUACUGAUGUAGGUCUGUAUAGAAUAAGCAAGACACUUGAGGCUGCCAUGAUUUAAAAAAUUGGAUCCAUACUUCAAACCAUCCCUCCAUCUCUCUCUCUCUCUCUCCUGACAGAAACUUGGCUCUCUUUGGAGCUUCAGAGGACUCUGUACUGCUCCCUUUACAUAUCCAAACAGCUCUUUCAACGGGCAUGUCAGUCAGAAAAAAAUGAUCUAGAAAGACUGGAAGACACCAACUUCUCCAUGCUUCAGAAAGUGGUUGCAUGAACUGGUCUCAGUGAUACACAUGGAGAAAUUGCGAGUUAAUGAUUCAGAAUGUAAAUAUAAAUGGGAAGAAUCUUGGGGUCUCUUCCUGCAACAUUUGCACUUACCUGGACAGCAGUGGUACCUGCAUGUAUUCACUGAUUUUAUUGUAUAUAUGGACAUUUCUAUUGCAGACACCUUGGAUGUAGUGCUAACACAUAUAGGAUGUGCAAUGAUUUUGACCUUGGAACAGGGUUUAGAUGAACUAUUUGUCAUAUAUGUACCUCCUCUCUGGCUGCGAGAGAGAGAGAGUGUGUGUGUGUGUGUGUGUGUGUGUGUGUGUGUGUGUGUGUGUUCUAGUGUAGGAUAUUUUUUUUGUUUGCAUUUUGUUGUCAUAAAAAAACAAAAAAACAAAACAGUCUUUCAUAAGUCAUGGGAUGGCAUAGCCCGUAACAAAGUAUAGCUUUUUCAUAACAACAAAUUUACUCUCAUGAGCAUCUUGGAAUGAAGUUACACACAGAAAAAAAGUAAAAUAAAAAUGUUUAUUUUCUGAUAAUUCAUCAUCAUUCAUAAACACUUUUUUCCUUAGUAUGUUUCCCAAUGAAAAACUGACUCAUGUAUGAAUUUUCAUUACUAUAUGGAUCUGCUUUUUUUAUUUUUUGUUCUUAAGGAAAGGGUUCAGUUGAAAUGUGUGUUAUGUCUCCUUUCAUUUUUAAUACUCCAAUUUAACAAAUUUAAAAUAUUUUUUGCGAUAGUUGCAGUAGAAGAGAAAAAAAAACAUGAAGCGAAGCUUGAAAAUGUUUCUUUGCGUAAUGUUUGACCUUCAUUUUAAUUAAUUUUUGCCAGAGUUUCGUAUUACCUUAACUUUUUGAGUCAAUGGUGAAGGUUCUUGUUUGUUUUUUUUGCAGAAUAGUUAGAUAUCCACUUGCUCACAGCUCACCUUUUUAUGCUUGAGAAAGAUGAGUUGACUCUCUAAGUAGAGGAAACUUAGUUAAUGUUGAAGUUAAUCAUUUAAGUAGAAUCCACAUUUAAGCAUAUCCUAUGUGAGGGCUUCCAUUGUAUUAUUAAUAUGUGCGAUUAUUGGAUCUGCUGCCUGUGCUCUUUAUGUGUGCAGCGGUGCACGAGUUUGAUGUGUGCAAGUAAAGCUGUUUUCUCUCUCCUUCCUGUGUGUUCUGAAAUCUCCUCUGCUGCAGACAGUCUGGGGUGCAGAGAUGGUGGAUGGGGGGGGCGGCGGCGUUGGGGGUGGGGAGGAAGGCAGCGGACGUGGCGGCAGGCCAGAAUCAAUUGGCAGUGUAAUGAGAUGGCCUGGUGCCAGGUAACCAUGGAGCUCCCCUCUCUGCCUGUCUACCAGCACAGAGUUCAAAAUUAAACUGAAUGAAUGAGAGAGAGAGAGACAGAGAGAGAGAGAGAGAGGAGGGAGGGGAAAUACGGGUCUGAAAUGGAAGGAGUGGAGGGUGAUAGAAGGGAAGAAAUGGCUGGAGAGGAGGGUGGUUGAUGAGGCUCUGUGGGCUAUUUUCAAGCACUGCUGAAAAAUUUAACCUCAGCUUCAUUUCAAAGAAGGAAGAGGUAGAGGUAAACUCAAUUCCACCUGAGAUUUAGGUUCACAGGAAUUUUUCAAAAUACCACCGUACCUGGUGAUGCCUGUAUUUCAGUGAAGAAUAAGUGCUCUUCACAAAGAAAAGAAAACGUGACCUUCCUAAGUACUCUUCCUCAAUAUCCACACUGAGCUGCUCCUUUUAAAAGUCUGACGGCAUUAGUGGCUUUAAUGUGCCUGCAAAUCUCAUCCCUUCAUCCCCUUCUCGACCCACACUCUUCCUCCUGUCAUGGAAGAUGUGUUAAUAUUGAGCAUUUGGCUGCAUUCUUAAAGUGAUUAGUUCGAGCCAAUGAAUCCUGUAGAUGAAAAGAAAUUAAGUAAUUAAUACAGUAAUUAGAUCUUUUUCUUCCUCCUACAGCUUUACCCCUGCUAAGUCAUUGUGCUGGCUCCUUUCUUAACUCCCUGUGCAUAAAGCAUGUUAGGAAGCCGUGUGCCACCCAUGAUGGAUGGUUUUACUUGGUAAUUUGUCUCUGUCUGGUGAAUACAAUUUCCUGCUAUGUUGUCAAACACUGAAGGACAGUCAGAGGAUUAUUGAAACUGUAAAAAUUUUAAAUUGGUAUGUUUAUAUUAAGAUUAAAAUUAGAUUUAGCCUACAAUAGCUGGAUGAAGGUGCAGUUUUUGGAGUGUGUCAAGAGGAAACUGAGUUUAUGUCCAAAAGCACAGAAUCAUUCACUACCUCCCUGCUCAGUGAAAUGAAUGCAGUGGACUAUAUAGUGGGCUCAAUAGUGAGCAUAAUAGAAAACAGUUCAGACGUUCUCCUUGCUAGGGAUGCACAAUAUUGGCAAAAACUAAUAAUACUCUAUACGUUUCCUUUUUGGGAAAUAUAAUGCAAAAUGAAAAAUAUUGGUGUUCAUAAAUUGGGUUUUAUAUACCUAUCAACAAUUGAAAUUUCAGUAAUUCUAUUUCCAUCAUUUUAAUCUUGAAAUGUUCUUUUCUGCUUCUAAAUCAAAUCCCCAUCCUACUUUUACCACACUGUGUCCAACUCCCUGACAGCAGCUCCUACACUCACAGGAGAAGCUGAGGGACGAGAUGAGGAGAGAGUGCAGGUGGAGAGACACGUCGCUUCAUAAACUUUACAUAUAAACACAAUUAACUAACCUCACACCAGUCUCAGACAAGGCUAGAAAAUAUGUUUAAUCUCCCCCACUAACCCUGUGAGAGUAACUUCUAACUAAACAAAAAUCCAUUGACUUCUUGUACUAUUCUUGUGGCAAUGAAAUGGUUGACACAAUGAGCCCACCACCAUGCAGAUACAAUAUGUGUCUGGGGUAUUAAAGUUCUCUCUUAGAAUUCAGACAGCACUAUAAAACGGCAUAUUCGCUAAAUUGUGAAUUAUAUGGAGAUGUGGGGGUGAUUUUGGUCCCAGCACGACUUGGAUAUUCGUCUUAAUGGGUUAAGUAGGACUAAAAGUUUGAGCUUGGUGAUACUUGUCUUUUUUUUGUUCUUCGUGUCUCACAAAGAUAAGAUUUUUAAAAAGUUGAUUGAUGUCUUACACAUUUAAAUUUCGGAAGAUGCAGUAUGCCUGCUUUCUUGCACAGAGAGGAAAAAGUUACAAAGUGUGGCGGUUUCAACCCUCAGCACAUCUAAUCAACACAGUCUCUGGACAUACUAUUAGCCACAACAACAAUAAUCUAGUCCCCACCAAACAGGCUUGAGAAACGAAGCAAAUGCGGAAGUGCUCAAAACUGCAGUUACCCAAGUACCCGCUUGACGCUGGUUGCAGAAGCAUUAAAAACCAGAAACAUAUUAAUUUAGGGGGGAAAAAGGCUAUUUCUAGAGCAAAAGACCAUGUUUACAGCCUGGUUCAAAAAAUGUUCUUGGUCUAAGUACUUCUGAUUUCUCACAGCACAAACUGGAGUGAAUUUUCUUCUAAACCAAUUUGCUUUGAAGGUACUAAGAUUACGAGUUUCGCCAGAGAUGUGAGUGGCUUGACUAUUGGUAGAUCCACUAAAAGUUAAGCUGAGUCAGCGUUUACAAUAUGGCAGCAGCUACCAAUAAUCUUUGAAACUCUAUUUAUUAUACAUUCGAUGGUCAACACAGAUUUUGUUUAAUCAGUUACAGAUAUAAACUUAUAAACUAAAAUGGUUCAUAAACUCACAUUUCCAUCAAUAUUGUUGUUUGUCACAUUCUUAGAUUAUCAGUGGCCACAAUAUAUAAGAUUAGAUAAAAUAAGAUUAGAUAAGAAGAGCUUUAUUGAUCCCCAAAGGGAAAUUCAAUAUAUGUCUGUUUCACAGCACUUUUAAAAAAAAUGCUUAUUGCUCACAUGUGCUUUACUUGACUCAUAUUUUAUUUGGUUUUUGAUUAUGUUGAGUCAUAAAAUAGUUUUUUUAUGUCGAGUAAAUAUUUCAGUUGGUUCUUUUUAAGCUUUUUUAAAUUUACUCUCUUAGUCAUAGACACACUUUGAAUAUAGCUGGGCAUGUUUGUUAUUUAUGACCACAUCCCAUUAUACCAACAUCAAACAAUUUUUAUUAAGGGUCCUUUCAGUCUCCUAAACGUCCACCUGUGGAUGUUUGAGAGAAGCGCUGCAUUGAAAACCUUUCAAUAUCAACAUCACUGAUGAUUAAUGAACCUGUUAGAGUAAUCAAAGCAUAGGAAAAAAUACACACAAUGUUAUAGUUAUAUCAAAUAAUGACAAAAAUAGAAUUAAAUACUGGAAACAUGAGGUGUAUUUUAAUUUAAUGAAUCUAAAGGACUUCAAAUUGUGUCAUUGCACAGAAAGAAUAAUGAAAACACUUUUGAUACGCCUGUAGUAAAACAUAGUGCGGUUGUUUUGUAGAUUAUAAAAGAUGGGUUUGAUAAUUUGACAGUCUGGAUUCGUGGUUACACAAGGGUCAAAGGAAGUAUCUGUCUGAUCAAACAUAGAUUGAAAAAGUCAGAAGCUGCAGAUUCCCUGUGUCUCUGAAUUGGGGCCAGCAUCUUCACUGUCUUUAGAAACCAGCUCAAACAGGGCAGAGCCAGCCACAUAUCUCAGGCUGGCCAGAGCCGGCUGAAGCAGGCCAUCCGUUUGCUUUGUGCUGUUUUUCCUGCAGUAGUGCGAGUAAAUGUUAGGCAUGGCUGAACAUACAGGUUUUAUACUGAGUAAGGACUGGAGUGCUGCUUAUCCUGAUAUGACCUCUGCUCUCAAUGGGAUGCUGUCUUCCAAUCAGCGGUAUUUAAAGUGGGAGGGAGACGUGAUAUACUCAUCUGUCUGUACAGUAAAAAGCAUGUUCAGCAGUGGGCCUCAUGGCCUCUGAAAAAUGUCCGGGCACUCUCCACUGAAACGGCCCAGACUUUGAGAGUUUUGAGUGCACAUUGAGAGAGAGAGACGAGACAGUGGGCCAAGAUGUCUGUGGUGUGGAUUAAUGGGGAGGACUGGAGAAAGGGUGCCGCAGUUGUGCGUGAGCAGAAUAUUUGAUGGGGGAAGCAUGAGGAGGGAAAAGUGAGGGACAAGCAACUGCAUGAGAUGGGCAAGAUGAAAGGGGGGAACAGAUAAAAUUGGACUGAAACAUCGAGAUGUAUGAACAUGAAUCAAAAUCUACAGUAUUAAAUACUUCUGCUGUCUGGCGUCUCCCACUGGUGCUUUAUCUUGUCUGAUAGCACUUCACAGUGUGCGCUUUACACUGUGGUCUGUUGCACUGAGCUCAGCACAGGGAUAAAAUCUACAUAAAGGCCUUCACAGAGAGUUGAAAUAAAGCCUGAGUGGGACAUAGAUACCUCUGAAUGAAACACAUACAGAGACCAAUUUGAGUCAAAGAAUGAACAAAGCAAGUCACGUCUUUUGGAGUGCUCGCCCAAAAUAAUUUUGUUUCUGUGAGGCUCUGCUGUGUGCAUAACUGUAACCUCUAUGAAAUAACUGAAGUACUUCUUUUGUCUUUGCUUUUCCCACGAAGUUUCUGGCUCACAGAUGGAUACAGCUCGUGUCCUUAUGUCUGCUUUUGGUUGCUGUGACCAUUCUGGUAAACAACAUUUCUUUGUAGACAAAUGCUGACUUCACAUUCACUGUAGUUUUUUUGAUCCUGGUAUAUUCAUUAAGAUAUUAUUUUAAGUUGUGUGUGAAGCAGAUCAAAGCAUGGAGAUACUGUUAAAACCAAUUAAAUGUUUCAUUCACAUUUUUACUGACUUUACCUUCACUGAUUCUUUUUAAAACAAAAACCAAAUAAAUGUCAGAGAUAUAACUAACUUUUGCAAGCUUUUGAGCGUGGACUGUGGGUGUCUAGGGAAGGAUUUGACAGCUGUAACCAAACUAUUAAUAUCAGCCAUUAUUACUGCCCGCCCCCUGGGGUGUUGGAUUAAGCUUUAGUGACUCUAAAAAGAUUCUGACUUUCCCUGAAAAGUGUGCAGACAAGAACAAAAUCCAAAAAGACGAGCAGUAGUGGACAUGCUGGGAAACAAAAGAUACUCACAAGUACCAUGGUUAUAAAUGACUCUGACAUAUACAUGAGACAUAAAGCUGCUCCGACUGAAAUAUUAUUACAACCUUAGAGGAGAAAUAUAAACAUUAACAAGAAGGUAGUAAAUUACUGAUGUGGCUCAAGUCUCCCUGUGAUAUUCUGUGCAUAAAGUAAACCCUAUAUUCUUACUUGUAUAGAUUAUUGUAGACAUAUACAUAAUUUAACAUGUUUUAGUUGAAUGAAAAGAUUCAGUUUCAUAAAUUUUUGUCAGUCUUAAUGUGAAACUCACUGUUAAAAUGUUGCUGUGCCUCAUAAUCUGAAGUAAGAUUUAAUUCUGGAUUAUAUGUAACCUAAUGAUACACAAACGUGAGGAUGCUUUGAAAAACCAGAUAACUUCAAUAGAGACAACUAUGGCUAAAAUGUUGUGUUAGAAUUUUUUGAUGGCUACAUAGGCACUCCUUUUUUACAGUUUAAAUCAUUUAAUAUAAUGUGAUGUACAUCUAUGCUGAAGCUGUAUAAUUUACCAGUGCCAUAAAACAACACAUGACUCAGAUAGGAGAGUCACCGGGGAGAUUUGUCAUGAAGUCGUCUUUUACUGAAUGUGGCUGUAAAAUGCAAAAUUAAGUCAAAAGUUUGAAAGCCCAACAACAACAAAAGUGUUUCUCUAUUAAAUCGUUCACCUCACCACUUGCUUGACCGAUUGACUUGCUAAGUUACGAGAUUGUACCCCGGCGUCACUGCAGUUUCUUUUACAUUACUGUACAAAUAACGUGGUAUGGUUGUUCCCCUGUUGGUGGCCCACUUUUUAGUGCUCGCUUUCCCAGGCUCUGAGAGUGCCUUUCAGGGGUUACCUUGUGAGAAGUUUGGGGUUAUGCCCAUGUCAGUUGCUCUGUUUUCUUCAACCUUGUGUUUUGGAGAGGCUCUUUUCUGCGACAGGUUUCUUGGCAAUAUCCUGAAAGUCAAAUCUGGUCAUUUAGAUUCAAGUGGUGACCAUGGAACAGACAGCAGCCCAUUGGCAUGCUGUUGCAAAACUAGUAGUCAGGACUCUUGAAAUCUAAAACAGCAUACAUAGACUAGUCUUUUGGAGCAAUGGGGAGACACUUAAGCUAAAAGACACUCAAGUAGGGGAGAUUUUUCUAAGUAUGGUGCUUUAAUUUAGUGCAGGUACACAACAGAGUCAAACAGCGACUUUUAGGUACAAAAUGAUGCUUCCAGUCUUAGCGAAGACGAGGGCUGGAUGAAAUUAUUGUGCAGUGUUUUACAUAGAGAAAGAGGACACCCAUAUAUUUAUAUUGCACUGUAUGAAAGCGGGAUAGAUUUUGAUCAAUUUAUUAGAUUAGUCUUUAGAUCAAUAAUUUGGAGUGUGGAAAAACAAAAUACGUUUGUAAGGUAGCAUGAAUUUAGCAAGCAGCGUUUGAGCGAACGGACCACGUUUUCCUCAGCAAUGUAGCAUUUUUACUCUUCUUCUUGCUCUUCAUGCUCUAAGCCUCAUCAUUUCUUUCUUUUAAGUCUUUGUCAUAUUCUGUAUCUGAGGAAAGUUUUAGGAACAAGGCUCAUAAGCAAUGAACAGAGGCCCGAGAACAGAGCCAUGAGAUACUCCUCUAGAAAUGCCCAAAAUUGGUAUGUAGCACUUUCACUGUGCUGUUCACUCUUAUACUGUGUUGUUAUAGGUGCUAUUCAGGAUGAUAUUCAUGAUCAUCUAAUGUUAUAAGUCUGGGUAGAAAAUAUACAUGGUACAUUAGCGUGAUGAAAUUAAGAGCACACAGUUAAAUUGAAGAAAUUAAAAAAUAUAUAUCUUCAAAUCCAGUGCUUAAAAAAAGAGAUGAAAUACUGAUAAGCUAUCAUUGUCAUAGAAACUAAAAGCGACUUGUCCUGUCAGGUGUUCAGGGUACAUUCAAACAGAGUGUAAUAAAACAUGGGGACAGCACAUUACCAUAGACAGCAGGUCGGAGCGUUAGGAUGUGGGCACACAGUAAGCCGUAUCAUCCUCACUCGUUUGGAGUCGAAGCCUUCCCCUGCAUGGUGGCCCAAAUAGAGUUUCUCAUGGACUCACAGCACAGCUGUAUGCCAAUCCUCUGUUCUGAAAGACGGCUAAUGGGACAAAGGGCACGAGUGAGGCAAAGGGAAACGAGGGAGAGAUGCUUGCUGAGUCGCCCAGCCCUCCCCUGAGCAGGACGGGGAGCACCACUCUUCCUCACUGCUCAGAGCUGCUUUCCCCCGGCCCUCAGCCAUUUUGGAGAGAGGAAAAAGUGGCUGCUUUCUCUCUCCCUCUCUCACUACGUGGCAUAGCUUUGGAAAGGUUUCGGCUGCUGUUUUGUAGGAGCAGAGAAGAGACAUUUUGCAGCUCGCGUUUGGGGGAUAAUGUGUUUGCAGGGAAAAAAUCUGACGCGAAAAACAACGUUCUUCCAUCUUGACUUUUUUUUUUUAAUGAAUUUUCGUUUCCCUUGCAUUCAGCUGCUAAGCCUCUCUCCUCUUUGCUGUGCACUUUCAGUCAUGCUGUGCUCUUUCUUUCAUAACUUGUGCUCUAGUUUAGUUGUCGGGUGCUUUCCCUUGUCUAUUUUAAAUUAUACCUUUUGUCAUUUCUCAAUUUGACUGUGUUUAAGACUAAAGGAUAGGUCCAAAUUUUGGCAGAAGUACGAAGAGACAGAGCUGUAGCCAGAGAUCCUGCUGGGAUCCAAAAAAGCCAAACAGAAUGAAGCACCAAAAAAAAAAAAAAAAAGAAAACACCACCCUUUCCUUUGCCUGAUCACAAAUUCCACUUUUUCUGUGGCCAGCCCUGCGCUGCGACUCCUCCUCAUCCACAUCUUACCGCAUUCAACCUUUUGCCGUUUCUCUCUUGCCGUACCUUUUUUUAAAGGCGAUUUGAGGUUUUUGUGUCCCGGAAAAACAGUAAAUGGACAACGGGUCAGGAGGGCUAACAGGGGGAGAACAAGGGGAUGUUAUUUUCCUACUUUUGCUUGUUAUUCAAUUUUUUUCUUCUGUUGCACUGUAACUGUUUUCGGGUCGUUGUUGUAGUGCUAGUAGUGUUUAGUUUUGUGUGCUGUGAGGAGGUGCUUGGAUCACCACGUGUUUCUCGUUGUGUGGUUUAAGGAAUAUGUGUGCAGGGGUAUCUAAUCUGUCAGUUUAAGACAUUCUGUUCUGCUCCCAGUAAUGAUUUGUAAAUCUGCUUUUUCUAGGUGUCUUGAUUACGCUGAAGGAUUGGCCUACACUGCUCCUCAUGCUUGACUCCAGCUGAUUCCAGAGGAUGUCUUGACCAUCACUUCCAGCGUGUGCCUCACUGGUACGUUAGCGAUUAUUUCACUUACAGUUUUCUUGUUUCUUUUUCUUUCUUUUUGUAUCCUAAACCCCACCCAGUGAUGCAUACCUGGUGUGUUGUUCACGUUUUUUUUUUUGUUUAAAGGUAGUAAGGUCAAGAGAGACAGCGUUACUUACUGAGGAAAUGCAGAAUUUCUUACAUAGUUGCAAGGACAUAUUCACAAAUUUGCUACUUCUCUUUAAAAAUGAUACUCCUGUCAUACUGUGUAUUCUGUAGAGGUUUGAUUUCAUAUGUUUUAUCACUCUCACCUGAUCUUACUUGACAAUAUUCACCUGCAGACGUUGGAUUUUUGUGUGUGGAUUUUUUUGUCUGUGGACAGCGUAUUUGUUCAGAAUCUUUCUGCUGAGAGACAAUUGCUCUCCUCGUGGUUUUGGGACAUUUUGUUCACAUCGUGGUCAUUUCCAAAAAAUGCCAGAAAUUCUGUUUUUAACUCAAAUUCAUUUUCAGGAUUCGAAUUAUUGAUCAGAAGACUGCAAUCUACAUGUUUGUGUCUUGAAAUGAAAAGAUUCAUUUUGUUAUUCUGUCUGACAUUUGUAAAGUAAGUGUUGACCUCAGAAGAAUGUGAUCAGUAGGUUACACAAACACCACGUCUGUCUCACAGUCAUGUGCUUUCGGCCUGUGCGUUGGGCCAUGGUUAAAUUCGAAGGCUUUUCUUUAUGAGGUACACAAACAGCAGAUAUACUAAAUAGCUGCAUUUAAAAAGUUAUUAGUAAAUAAUAACACAGCGAAUAUUUAAAAAUAACAGUAUUUAAUUUGAUUCUCGGGCAAAGCGAUUGAUUCAGACACUACUUUAAAACUAAGAAUCACUCGACUCUUUCUCAGGUCAUUUAAUACACUUAAGAAGAUUUUCAAUUCAACGCUGAGAAUUAUUUUAACUUCAGUUUUGUGUUUUUCGCUCUGACGCGUUUGCGUUAACGCCCAUGGUUUGCAUGUUGAAUAAGUCGUGUCUACAGGUCCAGAUUGUAGUUUGUCUUCCUGCUCCCAUGUUUUGUGAGAUAUGUCCUUCUUAUUUGCUCUUGAAGGGGUUAUGCCAGCUGCCACAAACCCGUAGAUCCGAACUUGUGGUGACUGGCUGCACAAGCUCGUAUCUAUAGGUAUGUGUCUUCCUGGCAAACACAGCACCUGCCCUACAGCAUGCCUGUAAAUACACAAGAAUAAUAAUAAUAAUAAUAAUAAAAAGUAACUCAAUGUAUUUAUCUUCAAAACAAACACCUUUGUAACAUCGAGGGUUAUUCUUAGACUUCUCACAUGUUCUCUUUAGUGUUUUUAAAAUCAAGCUUUGAUGGUACUCUGAUGACUGACAACACCCAUGUCUGUCAGAACAGGAUAUUCUCCUCUAAACUUCUCCCUUGUGUCCCAUCUGUAUGCAGUAACCCCACCCAAGUGGGAGGGCUGGACUCUAUGACGAUGUGACACGACAUAAAAAUCUUCCUCGUAUCCUUGGGCAGUGCAGCAAAUCAAUGAACAGAACUAUUUCAUAGUAAUACUGACUUUGCAGGACACAUGAAUAAAGGGUAAAAGAAGACCAUUUCCUCUGCUUUAUUUCAGCUAAAGACUGUUUUUUUUUAAAAUAUUGCACCAGAGUUUGAUCUCCUCAUUAAGUUUGCUUUCACAUCAUAUUGUAAAAUUUCGUUCACCCUGAUAAGUUUACUCCAUGUCCCCCCUGCAGAGUAGUCAUCCUACUGUUUCCUCCAGUGUUCCCGCAGGUUGAGGUAGUAGGUUGUAUAGUUCAGAGUGACACCACAGGAGAUAACUGUACAGCCUCCUAGCUUUCCCUGAGGAAACACCACACACGCUGAAUACUGAUGGAGUAUUUUUUUUUACCAAUCAUCACUUUUUUGUGUAACACAAAACUAGGCGUAAUCGGACUAUUAAACAUGUUUCAUGUUUUAUCCCAGGUUUUGUUUUUGGCCCUAAAAUUUUGAUUUUGAAGUUUUGCAAUUUGACUUUUACAUGGAUCGCUUCCCGUUUUCACCCGGGCAAAAAUAGUCAUAUGGGCAAACAAUAACAUGUAUGAUCCUUUUUGGCAGAGACUCAAAAUUAAAACAUUCAGUGAUCAGGGGACAGCAAGGACACAAUGUUGAAGAGAUGUGUACAAGCAGGAUAAUGCUGCAGCAGCAGCAGCGAGGUCUGUGGGCCGCUCUAAUGAAAAAGAUGCCACUGAAGGGAAACACCGUACAGCAGCAGGGGGAAAAAUACAGUCCUGGCAGCCAAUUAGAUACAAAGUUCAGUUUCAUGAAACCAAAACGAUAUACUUCCACUGCUCAGCUGUGUGCUAAAGAUACUGCUGGGAUGAAAACAACCAGCAACGACUGUCAUUGCUUCAAACCAAGAAAACCCUAGGCCCCUCAAAUCAGCUAUACCCCCUACAGCUAAAAUACAGCAGAUUAUUGCUCUGUUUGAAGCAAAUUAUAAAACCGUUUCUUGUGAUUUUCUUAGACUUUGGCCGGCCUUUAGCUCCUCUUUACCGUCAUAUUUUAGUGACAUUUUUAUCUCAUUCGUAGAUCUCAAACUCCACUUUAAAAUGUCUGGAAUCUCAGUUAUGAGACGGCAAACAUGUCAAACAAAUUAAAAAUCCUUAUAAAGCAAAUUCUUUCUUUCCACACAUAUUUAUGUCGUCACUUCUAUGUUUAUGAAAUCAUACCGUGGUGAGGAAUGAGGCGCAGCAUUUUAUCACCAAAGUGCUGGCUGGUUUACUUGAGUUUUGCCGUUUUAAAAAUAAGUUAAUCCUGAAAAUGUUAAAUAAAGUAUUUUUUAUAUUAUACUUUUAACCAGCCUACCAAAUAAAACACGACAGUGGAUGUAGUUAAAGAUGGUAUCCUUGUAAUGCAGUGUGCUACAGUGUGCAGAUGUGUGAGGUAUGAAGUGGUGUGGUGAUGAAAGACUGUUUCCACUUAAACUCUUCACUCUGUCCCGAGGCCACCGGGUUCGAUGGAGGUGGAGUAAGGAGCUCUGUUGGCCUGAGUGGAGCGGGGGCCCUUGGUACGGGGCAGCUCCUGCAGAGCGAUAGAGCAAGCAGUCAGUUGCAGCAGAUACAAAAUUAAAGACGAGAUGUUUUGCCUUUCUUUUAAUGAUACCUUUAAUUAACCAUGAUAAGCCUGUUUUCCUUGUACCAGCAUAAUGUUUUUCAUUUGUUUUGCUGCUUGUGUGCGAUGUUUUGUUGUGGCAUUGGAGUGGUGUGUUACUGUAUACAGCAGGAGGCAUACAGGAGCGCUCCCUGGUGACCCCCUAAGCACACACACCACGCCUUUUGUGUAUAAUCUAAAUGUAGUUUUUUUUGUCUUCAGUGAGUAUCACUAAAAAUAGUCUCAUUUAGCUGUUCUAAUGUUGGCUCUGUGUGUGGCUGACUUACAGUACAGCAUCAACAGCACUGCAGAGAAGGUUGAUUAUUUUCUUAUAGUAAUAUAACAUGAAAUGCACCCCCCACUGCUCUGUUAUAUGUUGAUUUUGUGAGAUACUACACCGUCUUGUUUCUCUGAACUGAAGGGAUGCCUUUGCUAAAAAAAUCAGCUGGAAGAGUUUAAAAUAGAAAGUGUCCCAAAAACUCUUAGAGAAGGUAUUUCACUAUUUUUAUUCAAUAAUUCUUUAUUGAUCUUUCAACGAAAGACAAUACUCUUUUAAAUAAAUCUAUUCGAUUGGAUGACAGUGUGGGACCACACAGGCUUUUUUACUGCUGUCAAUUAUAUUAGGCCAUCGGGAGUUGUCCGUCAAAAAGACCCUGCCCUGGUGAUUCCCUUUUCUCCCCAUUUGUCUCGCUGUCUUACCAUCGUGUCUCUCGUCUCCUCACGAGUCCUAUUUGCUUCUUUAACCAGCUUAUACUUAAAACAUCUAUAUAACACCACCACCUUGAGUUACUAUCCCUAAACUGCUUCAAGAGUUGGAGGGUUCCUCUCCCCCAUCUCCUCUUUUUCUCUUUAUUCCCUAACUUUGUUUGUUUGAAAUAAAUAUUGUUCUUGUCAGAUUAUGGUGUAAGAUAAGAAUCUUUGUCUUAAUUUAGUUUCCCAGGCAACCUUUGAUUACAAAAGAAAAACAGGCCUGCUUUAUAUCGUUGAAAUUCUAACUCUGAAUGACAGAGGCCGCCCAAGAGCUUAUCACAUGGCUUGAAUGACAAUAAGGCAGGAAAAUGGAGUUUCAUUUCAAAAUCUCCUACGUAAGAAAGUGCUUCUGAAGACAGAUUUAUUCUAGAAAUUCUCAAAUGAGGAAAGUAAAUCAUCCAGCUAUAACAAUGGAAGAUUGAUUGGAAGUUUCAGAAUGGGAUUUUAGGGAUAAAAAAGGGAUUUUGUAAAUAGCAGCAAUCAAAACUGAUAAGUUAUUGUUUGAAUGGCCUCACAACUUUUUUACCAAACCUGCUAGAGAGGUGGAGUAAAAUACUUUGUUUUGGUUUUUGCAGGAGGAGAGUUAGCCUGAAAAAAUAUGAAUGAGCACAUCAAGGUGGUCAUUUAGCCUUUAAACAGUUAACUUUAUAUUUGCUAAAUUUACAGAUCCAAGUUCAAGAGCAAAAUAUUUGUUAUAUGUCUGACAACUUGGUUUGAGCAUAGAUGUUAAACUACAUGAGUACAUGUGGAAAGAAUAUCCAUUUGUAUAGAAUUUAGACAAUCUGAAGCAGACUGGUAAAUGUAUCCUGAGAUAAGACUCUGUCUGACCUUUCAGAGGAAAAGAUUGUCUGAGAGAAGAUAAGAAAAUGAAUCAGUAUGACAAACACAGAGGGAAAGUUGCUACAGCAUACAGAGGAGACAUUUUGUAUUGCCAGGCUUCAUAGUUGAUGGAAAACAGUUCACCAAUUUGCAGAUUUAGGUGUAGCUAGCUAGAAUAUAAAUCCAGUGAAAGAUGGGAAGCAGUAUUUAAGUAGGAGUAGAUCAUCUGCAUACGGUGUAACCUUGUGUCUUUGUGCCAGCGUUUUGAUACCUACUGUUUUGUCUUCCAUGACCAGGACUCAAUGAUCAAAAGUCAGGUCAUACUCACAAAUUAAGGGUUGAAGAGGGCAGAACUGUGGGAGACUGGAUAAUUAGCCGAACUAAUGUUAUAAACUUUUCAAGUAACUCAAAUAUCUCAGAAAUCAGGCAGCUUUAUUCAACCUGAAAAAGGCCCUCAUAGGAUCUGGGAGGACUGCAAGCUCGAGAGUAUGCCUAGAGAUAUUAUUUCGAAUAUAUUAGGCAAAACUUUUAAGGUACAAAAGUAAUUUGAUGUCAGCAAAAAAUCGGAGUGUGGGCUACAGUGUAUUUUCUUCCAUUGCAUAGGUUAAGCCAUUUUGCUAAAUUUGUAGUUAUCUAGAAGUGUCAUCUGUUUUUCUUGGUGGAUGUCCCUCGUAGGCUAAUACAAGUCGUUAAUAUUGAAGUCAGAAAAAAACUCAGAAGUCAGGUACAAAAUGUGGUUUUUUUUAAAGCCACAUUGACCAUGUCUAGUUAAUGCUGGGUGAAUGAUUGUUUGGCUCCCCUGGUAGGUUUGCUCAAAACUUUAUUCAUCAGCAGUGCCAAAGAAGGCAACUUAGACAUAUCCCUGAGCUGCUUCCAUGAGCCCCAAAAAGCAGCUUUCUUCUUUAUCGUGGUGAUUGUGAGGUUGAUCAUGAUAUUCUAUGAUGUGCCAAAGACAAAAUCCCUUUAAAACUCAUAGGAAAUAAUGAGCAGCGGGAUGCUGAAACAGUGAAUCCUGAUGUUCAGGUAUUUGGCUUCUCUUUCUAGACCUCUGAGAUCUCCCUGAUUAACACUUUGCUUGAAGGUUUUUGACAUCAGCUCCUGACAGAGAUGGCUCACCAGCUACUGUUUUUUUCACGGCCUUUAAACUUCUGCCCGUCUCGUUCCUCUGUAUUGAGGCCACCAACGGCAGUACCCAUGUAUGAACAGCCAUCUUUGUGUAAAUGUCACUCUUUGGGGAGUCCAGAGCCUGUUGACAAAGCAGAACAUACUAGUCCCCCCUUCUGCUGAGCUAGCAUUAGCAUCAGAUGUGGCCCGAUUGUUCAUAGUUAUUUAAUCUGAGUCUUCAUGGUCAGCUGUUAAAGUCAGACAGUCUGUGCUUUGGUACUUUCAUACAAUGGGGAACAUUGUUUGACAAGGCAUGGAGGUUGGAAUUUGCUGUUUGUAUCAAAAUGAGAAAGUCACCUCAUGCUGCUUGCAUAAAGUUCGCCUACAUCUCUUCCGCGCAACAGCGCCCCGCUCCCCCCUCCCCCCUCCUCCUGCUCCUUUCCUCUUUCAAUCUUCUCUUGUCCCACCCUCCUUUUCCUCCAUGAUUGCACGCUGUAAUACCCAGUCAGUCUCGCAGACACAGAGGGGAGAGAGGCAGGAACAGAAUACCGGACUUGCCGAUAGAAGAAGGACUUUUUUCUUUUCUUAAAUGAAAGGGAGCUUGAAAAGAGACAUUGUAAGAUAAAAACGUGAUUAUCUCUGCCUUCUCUCUUUCUCCUUCUGCUAGUGUUUGUCUUCGUCUUUACUACUUUCUCCCUCCUCGCUCUAUACCUUUUCCUAUCUCUGUUUCGCUGUAUAAAGCAGGCCUGUAGAGACUGCGAUUUCAGCUUUGGGGAGAAAUGAAUGGACGAUAUUUAUUUGUCUUUUCUCCGCUCUGCCUCUGCCGUUUCAGUGCUGUAUGUCACAGGCAGAGGGGCAAGCAGAGCCUCUACUGUUUCUCUGCCCUGGGGACUUGAGCCUGCAAUCCAUGAAGCAUGCGAGGCAGAGGAGGGAAAGAAAAUACAGAGGCACAGACACAGGCAGAGAGGUGUGAUAAAGUGAGACUAAAGCGGUGAGCAGGAGCAGAUAGAAAAUGUGACACAGAUGGAGACAGGAGACAGGGGACAGACAGGGGAAGGAAAUGAUGGGUAGUAGUGUCACAUGGAGAAAGAGGGGUGAGUAGCAGCGGCCACAGGCACUACAGCAACAGGCGUUACACAUUUUUUCCUAUUAUUCACUUCUGUGGCUGUUUGGACACACUGUGUGAGCUUAUUUUCAUAACUUUUAGACAUAUCUGCUGAAUCCAUAAGAUAACAAGCACUUGUGUUUCUCUCAUGUUUGUGUUUUAGGGUCGUCUGUAAAGCUAUAAUUAAUGUGGAAAAACUAAAGCAGAAGCUGAGAAUGUAAGCUAAAGUGAACGAUAUUGUGUCGUACGCCUCAUGCAUAAAUAUGAAUGUAGUGUGUCGCUUUAGCUUUUAAAAUCAACACAGACAGUCACAUAUUUUAAUACCUUAAUACCGACUUGAUUGGACUCUUUCUUUUGUCUCUUUUUUCCGAUCUGUCUCUCACUUUUCAUUCCUCUCCUUUACGAGGAAGCAUGCAUGUAGCGGUACAGGCCUAUCGAUCUGCUCAUUCUUUCCUUGUGCGUUGUGCCACUUUUCUGCUCACGCCCACCGUAAUACAUCUUUGAUUUAUUAGAAUCUUUAAGAAGAAAGGUUUUUCUCGUCAGUCUGUUUUAUCAACAGCUGCUUCGUGACGUGUAAAGUGGCCUCUUUCCUCUGUGUUCUUCUGAAUUGACAGUAGUGUCAGUCAGUCUUACUUCUUUUCUUUUUUAAUCCCAUCUUUGUUACAUUCUUUGUUCACCUAAAAUAACCUUUUAACCUCACACCUGCCCUCCCUUUCAUCUCUCUGUCUCUGUAUCUCUCUCGCUCCCUCUCUCUCUCCCUCUCUCUCCUCUCUCUCUCUCUCUCUCUCUCGCUGCACAUGGUAUAGUCUUGCAUGUCUGAGCAGCAGACGGCGAGACAGCAGCAAUCUGCUACAGCAGCCUCAUGUGCUAGUGCGAAUGAUCCAUUCAACAAAGCCUGAGCUAGCAGCACUAAAACCUCUUCCUCUGCUUCCCUCUCCAGCUAUCUCUUUCAUCGCAGAUCUCUCUUUCUCUGUUCGUCUGGCCACAUCCUCCGCUCCUCUGCUCCUCUGACCGGCACAGACGUACAGCGAGGACUGCGGCAGCCUUCACCACCUCUGUCAGCUGGGUGAGCUUUCUCCUUUCGCUCCUUCCUCACAUCUUGCCUUCACCCUCCUUUUCCCACCCAGUUUUAUCUCCCUGUGCUUUCCCCUCCGUAAAAUCAAAACUGCAUGAUUGACAGGGGUGGUCUCGCUGGGAUGACAACGCUGGCAUGUCAGGGGGAUGGUAUAUCUCAUAACUGUAAAUGGAAAGAAGCUUUGGCUUUUUUAGCAACGUGGAGAGAUUUUUAACCGUGGCGGUCCAGUUGUAGGACCCCGCUGCUCUCCUUGUUGUGUAGUUGUUGCAUGCAGUGUGCAGGAUUUUGGCAUGUUCAGUGAGAAAUCAAAGAUAAUCAGACCACUGUUUGGCUGAGCCAGGCUGUGGCAGCGACAGGGAGGCCGAAAUACGCUGAGGCAGAACCCCUCUUAUGAACAUCAUGUGAUGAUUAAGUGCUGUCUGCCUGUCUGUCUGUCUGGGUUAGUUUCGCUAUAUAGUGGCAGCACAAGUGUUCAUACUAUAUACCUGUUAUCACUUGCAGUGUGAUGAUUUGUGGUGAGGUUCAUUUGUGUGAUGUGAUUUGCUUGUGAUACACAAUGUGAAACGGUACUUUGGCCCGUGUUCAGAUCACAAUGUCGCUUAUCGUCUAAAAACGUCAUGAAUGAGGCGAUGCAAGUGUGUCGGGGUAGUGCGGACUUGACUUACUGAUCCCAAACUGGAUUUAGAGACAAAACUUACACUCAGGGAAGAGAACAGCACAGAGCUAGGAAGAGAGGAAGCUGGCAUUGUCUGCUCCAGUCUCUGCCACAGUGCUCAUGCAGCAGAUGAUCUACUGUUUGUCGCAUAUGAAAAAAGCCCUUAAAAAAAAAACAACAACCUGUACCUCUCUCAUUCCCUGAGACCCUAACUUGUGACGUUUUCCUGUGAUGUGCACGGGUUGGGUUCUUGGGAGCUGCGAGGGGCACUCACACAUCUCUGUAAGCAAAAGCUAAAAAAAAAAAAAAAAGACUAACAUGGCGGAAAGACAAAGCGAAGCAAAGAGGGGGACGGCUUCCCUUUUCUGAAGCUAGGCUCGGCGAUGGGGAAAUGUACGUGUCAUCCACCCACGCCGCGAAAAAACAGCGAAAGAGGGGAUGGAAAGGGAAGAACACUUUUUUUUUUGCGUUACACGAACGAGUUGGACCCAGAGGCAGGCACAGCGUGUGGGGCGUGGGGUGUGGGGUGGGGGAGAUGGAUAGAGGAAUGUGGGUAUGAAGGACAUGUGACUGGGAUAGAGGGAUGUCCAGACAAGGUGGGGGUGACGUGUCCAAACACUGAGUCGUUUACUGUAUCCCUGUGUUUUGGGCAGGUACAAUUAAUGAAUGAGAAAUUUGUGAAGGUUACACCCACAGUGACUAAUACUACACGUGCUCACACAGACCGACAGCACAAGGACCUCAGUCAGACUGUUGAACACACACUGCGCUGUGUAUACUGUACAGACACACAGUCAUAAUUCGUAGAAACACACUGACAGUAUGUUGAUGAAGUUGUCUUUGUGUAUCACAAGGGAAAAACCCCAUUGUGUAAAUAAUUACGAUUCGUGCUUUUCGUCCUGUUAAUCAAACGAAAGUCGCAGUUUCCUCAUGACACUUCUUCACGCCUUAUCUUGAGAGCAGCACAAAGUACUGGUGAGAGCGUGACCCUGAAAGCUCAGUACACUUGUGUUUGACCUCAUGAAAAUUCUCAUCUUUCUGUUUUACGCAUCCGUCGGCGUGUGCCUCCUCGCUCCUUAAUCAGGGUAGUAAAUAAAAGGCGUACAUAAUCCAUGUAUGACACAUGUAUGUGUGUGCAGCAGGGUGACACCCCCAUGGUCGCCGGGUCAUUAAACCAGGGUUUGAACACAAAAUGACUAUAUAAACAAUCGUAGUGUUCACUGUGUUUUUUAAGUGGCUCUUAAAAUGAGAGUUCGUAUUCGGUCGAUGGUUCACUUAAUGUACGUGUUCAGCUAGCGGUCACUGUAUCAUGCAUAAGACUACUGUUGUCUCACUCCUCACUGUUCUGGAAAAAACUGCCGCUCAGUAUGUUGUAAUGUGUCUGGAGGCAAAUGUCUGUUUCUAUAAUUGGUGGUUGAUCUGUGAUCACAGCAACAGCUUCAUUUCCAGCUCUUACCCACACCUCCUGUAUAUGUAACCCUUUACAUGUCUGCUUCCUUCUCUUCAGCCACUCUGAAGUUUGCUCUCUCCCUCUUUCAGGGAGCUUCAGCGGCACUCAAACGAGGGAUGCUUUUUUGAUGUUUUGUCCUCAUUCUUUCAUUAGCUUGUAUUAUGCAGGAUGUGAUGCGGUGAUUAUGUGGUUGAAGGACAGGUAGCUUUGAGCUCUGAUUCUAUUUUCAGCUUUGAUUUGAAGGAAUUUUUAGCCAUGUCUGAUGAAUGCUUGAAGAAACAGCUGACAUUUUUUGUUACAACCCCCCCUACCCCACCUCAAGCAAUUCAUAAAAGCUCUCUUAUUUUGGUGGUCAACUGCUUCUGAGGAGUAAUGACUUCAUAAUGUCUUUAACUCACUCACACUCUCAUGCACCUUGUAUCCUACUGGGAGUUUUGCACCACAGCAUGGUUUCAGUUUACUGGAUGAGAGGAUGCAGGAUGUGUUAGUUUUUUUUUGUUAAAGUGAAGCAGCAUGUGAUACCUGAAAUCAUCUUCUCAAUCAUAACCACCUCCAUCGAUAGAGGGAGAAAACUGCAAUGUUGAGGGGAGUCUGGCUAAGCAUGUGUUAAUCUGAGGUACAUGUUAAAUCCAUAUUUUGUUUGCAGCUUUAAUUGUGUUUGCCAGUUACUCUUCACUCCUGAGGUUUAUGAGUGUGUGAUCCUCGCAUUUUCAAACGUUUUCUAACGCCAUUUCUCAAUCUCUUUGCGGCGAGCGUCGCAGAGAGAGUCAGUGAGGGAUGGUUCGUCAUCUUUCUCUUCUCAUAUGUGCUAAAAUGUAAAUGUGAUCAUGUGAUGUCAGCGGGGUUUCCUUCUCUGAGCAGCAGUAGGUCACGGUGUCACUGUUUUCCUUGUUCAGCAGAAACAUUGCAAUGAAAGAUUACAUCCAGACAGACAGCGAUGAAAAGGAAACAAACAUAAAACAUGAAGAAUAUUUGCAGAGCGGCUGCUGAUUUGAUUUCUGUUUGGGUCUGAAAUGCCAUCUCUGCUCCGACCAAAAGUAACAGCCGAGGAAAAGGAAAGCAAUAACUUUCAUGCGUGCCAUUCAAGCAUCACACUAUGUGUAUGUAUGUGUGUGUGUGUGUGUCUGCGAUCGGUGUGUCUGUGUGUGCAUGCACCAGCCACAUUAUUGAGACCUCCCACUACAGCCUUGCCCCCCGGCCUCUGCUGGAUUUCUUUCCAACUUGUAAAAUGGCCGACCGAUGAAAGAAGCACAGAUCUUUCAAUUUCUUAAAUUUACAGCCUGUGAGUGUUUUCUAUUUAUUUAUCUAUUUUCAGUAGAUGUAGAGAAAAUUCGAGUGCAGGAAAUGGAUUGACAAGUAAUCAUAGCAACUGUCAAUCCUUGAGAUUUUGGACUGACAGAAUUUGGAUGAAUCAGGGUGAAUGUAGAUCAGCUAUUUAUUUUUUCUGCCUUCUCUGCCUGUUUUUUAGAUAAAAAUUCAAUCUUGUUAUCGAUUUCUGAACAGUUCUUCACUUCAGUUGUCGAGAAGUACAUACAGAAACCUUGUCCUGGUGUUUCAAAAUGUUUGGCUGCACUAAAAUCGGGGCUGUACUGUAAACCACCAAACAACCCUCAGGGAUUUGCUGCUGAGGAAACUGGGAGCAAACCUCAAAUGUAAAAUGCAGUUUUCAUGUUUCAUGUCUCAAUGCAUGAAUAAACACAUCUGUUGUGUGUGUGUGCGUGUGCAGCAUAUGUCAGGGAGUAUGGUUUUGUCAGCUUUCUGCCUCCUCUCCUCUCCUCUGUCAUUUCCAGCUCUUUCUCUGUGCUGUGAUCUCACUCACACUCUCACGGCACAGGGGAUGAGUCCUCAGAUGCCCUCUGAUCGCUGCAUGAGAGGCUGGACGCAUGUUUGAAUCUGCCUCUGUCUCUCUCGUUUUCUCUCUGCUUGGUACAGUGGCUGCUGCUGUUGCUCCAGCGGCAGGAGCAGGUGUGUCUACCUCCUGUGUUGCCCCCCCUCCUUCCUGUUCCCUUAUCACUGCAGUACGGCAGCUCUGUCUGGGAGGCAGCCAUUCCAUUGUUCUCGCGCCCCCUGCACCUAUCGGUGCCCCUGUGGGUGCCGUCUCCGCUCUGCCCGCCCCUACCGGUAGAUGGGACUGGCUCCAAAUCACUGUGAUACUUGGCCCUUGGUGCCCUGAGCAAGUUACGCUCUGUUACUCAGGCUUUCUGUCUCUUUCCUCCCUGGACAGAGCUCAGUACUCUGCUGCAGACCGCCGCCAUCUUGUUACUGCUUGUGCUGCUGGUCUGCUGCCUCUGCUGCGCUCAUACCAAAUCGAACCCAGCCUCAACUGUUUGAAAGUGUCUCACUUCUUCUACAAUUGUUGUCCUCCAUGCUUGUCUUUAUCACAACGCACUCUCAGAUAAGUGAAGCUUUUUGAACACAUGCAUCAAACCUGAUGAUUUAUGCUGCCGACACGAUCAUCGCUACUCACAGUGAAUUUAUUCCUCUCUCUGCAAAUAAGUUGAUAUUUUUGGAGUAUAAGACAUACUCAUAUCUGAACCAAUGUCUGGUUCAGGAAGCCCAAAUAAUACCGAUCACAACUGUAAAUGUAGCAUCAAUCACUUACUGUUACUAACAUGAUUCAACGUGAAGACCAACCACCAAAGAGAGUUAAGUAAAACUGGGACUGCUAUUUUACAGAUUCACAAAUCCCACUUGGUAAUAGACGGCUAUUAAACGUCUAGUUUUUUUGGUUAGACCUAAUUUCAACCGUCUAGAUACUGUAUAGAUGAAAUUUAGACGUUGCACUUUAACCCAUUAUUCGAUAACUGUUUGAUCAAAAAGCAACUGUAAUUUAGACGUCUCAUAAACUUUCAUUUUUAGACCUGUGGUAGCCUGAUUUUAGACCAGUCCUCUAGGCUACAUUUUGACGUCUAUUAGACCUCUUUUAGACCAAAAAAUGCUCAGUGGGAUGAUGUUAUUAAAAAUCUAAUUUUUGCAUUUGAUGCUGAUGGAAAGGUAACAUCUGCAUCCCAGUCCAUCUCUGAUACGGGGGGAGUUCAUGCAGCCCUGUAGGUAGCACAUAAAUGCUGUCUGAACAUGUGCAGCUGUAUUUGGAGGGAAUACAAAUGAUCCAAUCACUUUUUAUAUUCGGAUCAAGUACUUUUUUUAUCAUCUAUGUGUCACAUAUUUACUCUUGCCAAAAAGAAGCCUCACACUUCUCUCAGCAGAAUAUGAUAGCAGAUAUGAGUCAAAGACAAACAUCGGUCACCGGCAUAUUUAACAUGUCAGCAAUGCAGCGUGAAUAGCUUGACCAUGAAAACUGCGUAGGAUGACCCGAGCUAAUUACACUCAUUAAAGCCCUCAUGACAGCUGAAAGAGAAAACAAAGACACAAAGUUUGAAGCCACAAGUUGGAUGAUGAGGACAUGAAAAAAUUGUUAUAACAGAAUGAAUUACCUAUGAGCCGAGGUACAAAAAAAAAGUGAGGCCUUCCUCGUUUGUGCAGGUAGAAUCAAGGUUAAAGCGAAGGGUAAAUUUUCAGAGGGCUUAUUUCAACCCAACUGUAUGGAAAUGUUAUUGCUGUAUUGAACUGUGCUUUGGUGAAAAACGAGUGUAUGUGUGUAGGUGGAGGCCAGAGUGAUGCAGCAGUGAGUUCAGAAGGUCCCCAGUUUUCUCAGUCACUCUGCCAAGAAGAAACUAUACGAAUGCAAUCAUAGAGACAGAAGAAAACACAGACCAUCUCUCAAGGGUACUUCUAUGCAUCUGAGGUCACCAGAUUCACUUUUUUCCUUGUGUCUUUGAGCAUUCACACUCUGUAGCUUUGUGCUGAUUCUGUAUAUGGAAGGUUAAAGGCUGCCUUGCUUCAGGGUUAAAUGUUGUCAGCUUUUAUCUUAUGUCUCUCCAUCAGGCCAGUUGUUAAGUGACUCCUCAUUCCAGUACCAGCUACGUGCUUGUAUGUAAAUGCCUCUGCAUAAAUUGUGUAAGCAGGCAGACCUUAGAUGACUCCAAAUUUCAAGAUGAAGAAGAAGAACUUUUUUGAGUCAUCUUAUCAUGGGAGAUGUUUCAUGUAAAAAAAGCCCUUGUUAAGGUGAAUCCAUAUAGGGAUGGUGCAACCGGCAAAAUUCCUGGAUGAAGCAUGAAAGUCAUUACACAGGGUUACAUUACACUCUCGUCCCUAGUUUGGCUUCAACAUAAACGGUAUAAUUAAAAUGUACAACAUUUGAUAUCAUAGAAUCACAGGUAACCAUAGAAACUAACAUAACAAUAAAACUGUUUAUCAUAAAAUAAAUACACCCAAAAUAUAUAUAUGUUAAUAUAAACUAUCAGAUUUAAAAUACUACAUGUUUAAAAUGAACCUAGCGCUUGGGAUAGUUUUAUUUUAAUUCCAGAAUUAACAGGCCAUAAUGCAGAGGGCUGAUUGUCUAAAUUUAGAUCUACAAUUCUAUAUGUUAUGGUUUCCAAUUAUAGUGCUGUUAGAUACUCUGUAACUGCCCUGUAUUCACACAUAUCUGCAAAUAGGGGGGUAAUAGGGGAUUCAGGGGCUAAAUUGUCGAUAAAUUUGAAAACUAGUUUGAGAUUAAAUAAAUGCAUAAAACUCCAAAACUGAAUUGAUGAUAAUUUGUGUCAGUAAUGCCAAAGCUGGAGUCCUGUGUCUGUGAUAUGUGGGGCCCGGCUGUAUGUAUAAGAGAGUAGGGUUUCUGACUGUAGAGGGUGAAGCUUCAACCUAUACAGUUAUACAAAAUAAUAGAUUAGAGGAAGUAAGAGUAUACAUGAAAACUGGUCUAUUUGGUUUGAUAUUCAUCUUGUCUGUUUUCAAAAUGCUCCUCACACGUUGAUCAACUGUUCCUGAGAACGUAAAAUCAGUCCCCCGCUCUAUUGCUUGAUUCUCUAUCUCAAUCGUGAGAUUUUCAGGUGAGCAUCGUUUUCUAGUGGGACAAUACCAACACCACCGUAAAGGUCAUCAUAUUUGACAUUUUUUUAUAAGAAGACAUUAUUUUAUGUUGUACAAAAUACAGACAUGCUGUUGAACAGUUAGCAUAAAAUUUAACUCGAUCCAUAAUUGUAUUCAGUCAGGCCUGAACUUCAUUGUAUUGUUAUGUUAGUUUGUACCCUUUAAUGUCAACUCUGUGUUUACGUUGUGUUGUUUUUGCUUCACCUGUCAGUAAGUGAGACUGUGUCAGUUUGUCGCUGGCCCACACUGUAGUAUCUCAUCAACUUUUGACUGUUGUUUUACAGAUUUCCAUGCUGACUUUUGAAGAUGAGUCCCAAUGACUUUAGUUUUUUCUCAAGAGCCAGGAACAGGUAAUAUUUUUCUUUUAUCCACUGACACAUACCAAUAUCAAUCAGUUGAACUGGCACACAGUUUUACACAUUCAUGGUUACCAGCUAAUGAAGGACGUGCUGAUUGGGAUCCAACAUUUGUGGCUUUAUAAUGAGUGUUACAACAUCUACUGAGAGGAAUUCCAUUAUUUUCAUGUUCCUCUGUAAUCCCUAAAUUUGUCAUCCAGCACCAUCAUCUGAUCAAAAUUUGAAUCUGUGCUUCCAGUACUUUGCUUAAUAACCAAACACAUGCCGAAUAGAGGGAGACCUGCAAGCUAGUUUAGGCUGGCACCUUCAGCUGCACUGAUUUAGCAUUUGUCAGUUGUCAUACUAUCACAUGACACACAUUUGACAGUCUAUUUAAGCUGACAGAUUUCUGGUAUCUGCCUCUGAUCUGCCAUUGACACUGCUGCUUUGAACCAGGGUUGCACUCAGAUUUCUCAGCCCCACCAGUACUUCAGCAUUCACCUCCAGGCUUCAGCUAGGGAGCUUAUGAUACUGUCUCAUCACUUCUCUAACUUUGGUAAAAAAAAAAAAAAAACGUGGCAGUGAUGAUGUUGGCGAACAAACGCCAAACACAAUCAAUGUUCCCCAGCUUUAAUAAACAUUUCAAAUCACUUAAACAUGAGUUGUCUAAAUGAACUAAUGAUUUUAUCAACCUCAGCUCUGCUUACAAGAAUGCAGGACAUCUUAAUUGAAAUGUAGGACACUCUGCCUAAAGUCACCACAUUAGCAUUAUCUUCAUGAGCAUGUUAGCAUGCUGGUGAUACAGUUUGACUCACAACACGGCUGUUUUCCACUUUGCAUGCAGCCUCGUGGUACUGCUAGCAUAGCUGUAGACUAGAGAUUGGCUGUGUCCAAAAUGAAUCACUCAAUCCCUAACCCCUAACCCCCAUAUGGGAUUUUACUAUAUAGCUGACUAUGUAGUGAACUCAAUCACCGGAGGUUUCGGACACUACAUGGCAUGACGCAAUGCAUGACGGGAUGCCCACCACCGGUGAGUGACCAUCGGAUGGUCACUACAUUUUGCAAUGCUCUAUGGGAAAUUUUGAGUCGCUUAUAAAGGGCACUGGAAUUGAUCACUGAGAUUUCGGACACCCCUCAAAAUGGCGCGAACCCCCAUGUAGUCACCUAUAUAGGGGUUAGGGAUCCAUUUAGUACAACGCCUUAGACUGAUUAAUCGAUCGGCCAGUCGAUAGCAUUUUUAUGUAAUCAGCUCUACAAGGUUGCUUUCAUCAUCAUCAUCAUCAUCAUCCUCCACAUAAAAAAAAGCAUUUGACAACACAAAUCUCAACCACUGGCUAGUGAUAAAUAUAAAUUCUGUAAUAAUGUUAAGAAUAAUGCAACUUAAUAUUAAUGAUAUUAACAUUUACCUUGUAUAUUUCUUUCUCUCUUAUUAAUUUUAGAUAGCAGGACAGAAAUCCAAGGCAAUGUUUGAUUGAGCUGAGCUUUUUCUUUCAUCUACGUUUACAUAGAAAAAAAAAUCAAUCAAGGUUAGCAAUUUUGUUUCUCAUUUGGUAAUAUUGUUAUAAUUACAAAAAUAAACUAACUAUGAAAAAAAUAAAGAAAAAGAAAAGAUAUACACAAUUUUAUAUCAGCAUUGUAUAUCGGCGGUCGGCCAACCUGCUGUCUCAUUAUCAGUACUUGUGUCGGCCUUUGAAAAUCUGAUAUCAUUCGACUGCAGCUCUAGACUCUGUUUUACUUUUGUAGAACGAAAACAAAUUGGGUUGUGUAUAAUUUUUUCAGUCACAAUGUUUUUCUUUUUUGUCACUUAUGUAGUUUUCUCAUCAGUAGGAUGAGAUUUCUAUCUUCUAUUUAUUCUCAUACAAGUGUCUUCUUAAAGGUUCAGAGUGAUUGCAUUUUGACAUGAGUCAGAGAAGGGAAAUCAUAGAAGUAGAAACUAUAAUCAUACCCUGAUUAUAGCAGAUAUCUUGUUUUAAAAAGUUUAGUUAAGUUAAGCAAGUUGCCAUUUCUCAAAUUCAUCAUUUGUUCCUCUACUUACUCUUGAUGUAAGUCUAAGCUAACUGUACAUACUGGUACCUAAAAUCACAGAGAGAAAUAAGAGAGUGGUGAGGGAUCUCUGGUGCAGCAGAGUGGGCAGAGAUUGCAUGACAUGGUGCAGUUUGCACAUGGAAUGUAGAGAGAUUUCAGGCACUCAGUGAUGAAGGCCAGAUGUUUGAGUUAUGCAUAGGAAGUUGAUUGUCCACAGUUGCUACUGGUUAUGACAGUGAUGAAGCCAAGCACCAGCGCUGGUAUCUACUGUAUAAUCCAAUUUAAGAAGGUCCUCUUACUUUUUACAGCUUUUAUGUGACCAAUACAUGUUCCCAGUUUUUAAAACGGUCUUCAAACUACAUUACAUUAAACGAAGAGCAUAAAUAUAAAUAGAAACAGCAUAUAUUAGCGAGUAGUUAAGGGGAGUUGCUCAUAAUUCCCUAGUUACAUUUUGCAUAGCAACUAAUCCUAAAGCUCGAGAGACUGGGAUUGGUUGACAAGAGUGUUGAUCACCCUGAUAGAUGUAAAACUAAAAAAAAUAAAUAAAUAAACUAAAAAUAGUUAAAUAAAAAAACUGAAAAAUUCUCCAAGGCAAGAGCGUCACAGGUCAGAUGAAGAAUAUUUAUUAUUCAGUCUUGUUGUUGGGUUGAAUGUUUCUGUGUGGGAUGAAAUGGUUAAAAUAAUGCUGCUCCUUCAAAACUGUGAAGUCAGUUACAAGAUUUUUUUAAGUAAGUAAAGAAAAGAAGAAGUCAACUUUCCCUGAGGUUUUGAUUUCUUUUCAGUCCAGAACGAUGACAGAAAAUCAAUCAUCUGCCAAAGUUUUUGACCUGAGCUUGAUCAGUAAUGCAUAUUUAUACGCAACCAUCAGAGUUACAUACGAAAACUCCCCCUCCUCUUACUGUAGCUCUUUUCCCUCAUUCCUUCUCCCUGCUUUUUCCUCCUCGUCUUACACAGAUCCACACACACCCAGCCAGUCUCAGUGUCUUACACACACACACACACACACACACACACACACACACACACACACACACACACACACACACACACACACACACACACACACACACACACACACACACAGUCUUUUGUUUGGAUUCAGACGGCAUUGAAGGCAGAUCCUGUGGCCCUUCUGAGGAGAAUGUUAAUAUGGCUGCUCUGGUCUCUCUGGGGACGCAAAGAAUGGACUCUGGCUGCUAAUGCACUGUCACACUAACCCACCCGAUCCUCUCUCACAAUCAGAAUCAGCAGUGGUGCACUCAUGCAAGCUCUGAAAACUAUUUAACCAUACUCACAACUUACUGAUUCAUUCAUAUUCUUCCAGUUAAAUAUAUUUAACUUUCCCUCAUGAAUCCGCGUGUAAAAACAGAGGGAUGCCAGGUGUACCUCUGUAUUGUUUUAGUUUUGUUCGGGGACUUUCAUUACUCUUCUUUUUCAGUCUGUUGUUAAGGUCAGAGUAUCAUAGUACCUUCUUCAGUAGAUGUCUACAGAAAUCCUAAACCCAUGUUUAUUUCAAAUAUUUUAAUCUGGAGUUCAAUUCAUCACCCAACGUGAAUUGAUGAAUUACACCAGCAACAGGAUCACAAACUUACAAUGACAACUGAGAACUACUUUUUGACCAGCUAAUCCCUAAUGUGUUUAAUCUCCAUUUGUCCAUCACCCAUCCAUUCAAUUACCGCAGAACUGGGAAACAUGCAAAUCUACUUCAUGCCCAAUCUAGAGAAAAGGAAAUCAACAGUUUUUUUUAAUAUUUGAGUUGGUUAUUUAAACUAAAAACAACUCAUGUAGCUUCUGUUUCCAACAACUAGUUAUAAAGUUAUCUAUUGAAAAAGAUGCAUAUGCAGAUUUGUUAAAUGGGGAGUAUAUGAAGGGAGUAUAACAUAUCAGACAAACAUAUUGAUUCACAGAUAAUGAGAUGGCUGAGAGCCUUCUGGUUAGUUGAAUUAAAGGGUUUAACAGUGUUUAUUUUAAAUCACACCUUUAACUCAUGGCUAUCUCAAGCUUUCAUUAGGUAUACAAAAAUUAAUUAUUUUUGUGUUUCCUUAUGGGUAACUACUUUAAUGAUUUGUGGAUGUUAAAUGUUAUUUCUCCAUAUUUCAUUUUUCAGACAUUGAUUUUUUAGCAGGUAAAAGGAAAACUCUCAACUUAAGCCGUCAAAGAUUUAACUCUCGUGCAGCACCUGGGUUAGCAAGUGGGCACCUUACUUCUUAGGUUCACAACACCUCAGGAAGACUGAACCACACCCUUCAGUCUCUCAUUCCUCCACUUGGAGAAGGAAACAAGAAAAUGCAGAAAGAGGAGUCUGUGAAGAGCUGUAAAAAAAGGAGAUAAAUAAUGUAUCAUACCAACUGUGCAUAUCAUGUAGUUGUAAUGUUCAUCCACAGUUAUAGUGCAAGUGAGUGCACUUACUUACAUAAACAAUUUAAUCCCCAGACGGCAUGUAGCUGAACACUUUCAAAUCAGGGUCACCUAAUUUUCUUAUUCUUGGAGGUUGGGAACACAGUCACUUAUUUUCAAAGCAGGAAACCCCUCACAUUUUCAGACCUGUGUACUGUAUGUCUCAAUAACAAAGGUGUCGUGUUUCUUUCACUCAUUCGCUCUUUUUGCUUCUGUUUCCAAGCUGUGAGCAGGGAAAAUGCGUUGCACCGUCCCCUCCUCUCCCAGUUUACUGAAGUCCUUUCAUAAUGAAUGGCAAGGUACGAUAAUAGCCUUCAGGUUGCCAUAGAAAUGAGACAGGGGCCCUGUAUGUGAUUUUUUCUUCUUCUUCUUCUUCUUUUUUUUCGCUUCAAGCACAGAUGACAGAGGACCGUAAGGAAAACUCCUCCUCCCCACAGUCCUCUUUUGUGAGACAGGGUAUAUUAACAACUUGCUGCUAUUGCUAACAGUCCAGACAGUUUUUAUACCUCAGAGGGCUCAGAGGUGACCUGUGGUUAAGAUCACUCUCACUUUCCGUCAAAUGAAGAUGAACGGUUCAAAACUUGGAAAGCAGAGGAAUGGUUUUCUCUCAUCAGGUCUCCUCCCUGCAUCAAGCAUCUUGUGUGCAGCUGCUUUUUUGAUGAGUAAAGCUAAGCUCUUGAGUUCUUACUGUCCCAAAGUAUUGAUUUAGCCCGUCAGUUUCACACUGUCAGUGAUGAUCUUGGACAUGCUGAUGUCAAGAACGGCUUGGUUGUAAUGUGACAAGUUUUGACUGAUUGUUCAUUUCUAAAGCGCCUCCACUGGACCAGACUGAGUGAGUACUAUUUUAGGCAGAGCUUUAGACAAAGACAUGAUAGGAAGACCUUUUAUCAGCCUGAGCUUAAAAAAAUCCUCAAACAGCAGCCUAGAAGCACGGCUCAUUUUAACCAUCAUCACAAAUGGUACGUUUCCAAAGCUGAAAAUACUUUAGAAGUAAACUUACACAAACAGUCAUCACCUGCAUUGAUGCCACAUGACAUAAAAAUGAGCUAAGCAUAUGUGGAAAUACUCCAUCUGCAAAGUAUCCACAUAAGAAGAAUAACAUUGUAUUUAUAAAUAUGUACAAAGAAACUAAAGAAAUUUGACAAACAUUCCACUUUAAUGUAUUUCAAGGUUGCUGAGGUGGUAUUCCUUCAGAGGCAUUAUGAGAUAUUUGUAGUCUCUGUGAGCUUGUUCGAUUGUAGUUGGACUGAAGGUGUGCGUCAUAUAGAGGCCUACAAUGAGAUCGUAUAAAUUCAGAGUCCUUUCUCUGUAUCCUUAGAGAGUUUCUGUUUCUACAUAUAGUAAACCUGUGUGAAAGGAUCUUUGUUUGUACACACAUCUUUCUACAAA